UGGGGAAUAUUGCACAAUGGGCGAGAGCCUGAUGCAGCAACGCCGCGUGAGGGACGACGGCCUUCGGGUUGUAAACCUCUUUUAGCAAGGAAGAAGCGAAAGUGACGGUACUUGCAGAAAAAGCGCCGGCUAACUACGUGCCAGCAGCCGCGGUAAUACGUAGGGCGCAAGCGUUAUCCGGAAUUAUUGGGCGUAAAGAGCUCGUAGGCGGUUUGUCGCGUCUGCUGUGAAAACCCGAGGCUCAACCUCGGGCCUGCAGUGGGUACGGGCAGACUAGAGUGCGGUAGGGGAGAUUGGAACUCCUGGUGUAGCGGUGGAAUGCGCAGAUAUCAGGAAGAACACCGAUGGCGAAGGCAGAUCUCUGGGCCGUAACUGACGCUGAGGAGCGAAAGGGUGGGGAGCAAACAGGCUUAGAUACCCUGGUAGUCCACCCGUAAACGUUGGGAACUAGUUGUGGGGUCCAUUCCACGGAUUCCGUGACGCAGCUAACGCAUUAAGUUCCCCGCCUGGGGAGUACGGCCGCAAGGCU
rnacentral:rRNA from 1 species